CUUUCUAGAGCCGUGCGUGAGGGAAAGUGGGGAGAGGCUGUGGAUACGAGUGUUUCUCUGGAUGAAGCAGUGGGCGGAGAAGCAUAGCAAAGUCUACGCAGAGAACUGGAAGAGAACACCACCAUGCUUUAGGAGAGCUACUAAGAACUGAGUGAGCAAAGAGCCUUAAGGGUACCAUUGUGCCAAGUCAGGGUGCUGAGGCUUUCCCUGUUGUGCUCAGCCCGCCAGGUUCCAAAAAAAUCUUAGGGCCCGGCCUAGGAGUAUGACAUCACUGGGUUGACAUUUUUCCCCGCUUGUUUGUAACCCCAGUGCCAUAUCAGGGCUCCAACUGCUUAGAAAUGUGAAUUAUGGCUCACAUUUGCGUCUCAUUUGCUGUUUGUAAGCUGAGGUAAUCCUCUGAACUAUAUAGUGUGGCAUUACCUGUUUUUCAAAUUCACCUCCCAAAGUUCUGAGAAGCCAAACAUCACCCAAGUUAUCAAGUUGCAGCGCACAAACUGAAAUCGGUGUUUCUGACUCACACUUAAGUCCACUCUGCCUACAUAGAAAGACUGCAUUCCUUUCAUUUUCCCUCUUGCAGUUGCUUCCCUGGGAUGGAGAUAAGUCAUUUUGGUAGACUUCUAUGGAAAUUGAUCCACCAUGAAGGCAUGGAAACUAUAAUUUUUUAAAAUUGUGAUUCUUAUGUCUCAAGUCCUUUCAAAAGUUAGGCAUUAAGGUGUGCAGGAAGAAGAAUCAGCCUGGUGCCAUGUUUUUUAAAUGUUCAUUUUAUCAAACCCGUUUAUAUUCUUAAUAUACUUACUGUAUCAAGAAACUUGAGUCUUGUGUAUCUCUAUCUCUCCUGUCUACCUCUCAAAACGAAAAGACUAAUGAAACAAAUGCACUCCUUCAUUUUCCUCCCUGCUUUGCUAGAUUAACGGUAUAGCUAAUGUGUUACCUUUGGAAGGGUAGUUAGUAUAGAAAUCUGUUUUUGAUUUUGGUUUGUAAUACAACAGUGCCUUUUUUUUAAACCUCUCUUCUCACUUCUUCCCCAAACUGGAAGUUAAGAAGUGACUAGCAUCACCAGCCUUAGAAGGGUAGUGAUAAGAGCUUUGCUCCAUGCUUACCACACCAUCAUUCUGUAGGAGACUCAAAAGCAGCUAAGAUGUAUGCAUGCUCAGAAUUGUGAAUGACUUGCCUAGGGCAGAUGACAUAUCCCAGAAUUUCUGAUCUCUCCCAGGACCCACUAAUAGACAAGAAACAAAGUUAACAACAUCUCACUCAAUAGAAGAGAAGUGUCUGCAACACAGGAAACUCUAAAUAUUGUCCUCAACUCCCAACAAACCAUUUUAUUCUCUCUACCUCAAAAAACUCAGUUUUGAUAAAGAACACCCACUCUUCUAAGUUUUCAUAAAUGGUUGAGAAAGUCAAGUGUAUAAAUAUAUGAUCAAAACACAUUUUUAAAUUAAAAAUGGGCUGGUCUAAGUACGGUGGUACUUACAACGAAUUGCUCACAACCAGUUACAGAUUUCUUUGUUCCUUCUCCACUCCCACUGUUUCACUUGACUAGUAUUUAUUAAAUUAUAUUAGAAACGUAUGGGAAUAAAUGUUUACAUUUUUAACACUGCAGGGAAGACUUUUGGUUAAAAUUUGGCCUAUAAGCUCCUAUAGAUUAAAAUUGGCAAAGCCUGGUGUAGUGGUGAAUGCCUGUAGUCCCAGGAACUUGGGAGGCUUGAGGCAGGAGGAUCUCCCAGUAGUCUAAGGCUAGCCUGGGCCACAUAGUAGGAUCUUUUCUCAAAACAAAAAAAAAAAAAAAAAAAGCAAGUAACCUAGGUAGGAGGCAAUUAAAUUUUCAGGUCAUUCUAUUAACUUAUAAGAAAAAUUGGUUUGGGAGGCCGAGGCAGGUGGUUCACCUGAAGUCAGGAGUUCAAGACCAGCCUGGCCAAUGUGGCAAAACCGCAUCUCUACUAAAAAUACAAAAAUUAGCCAGGUGUGGUGGUGUGCACCUGUAAUCCCAGCUACUCUCGAGGCUGAGGCAGGAGAAUCGCUUGAAUCUGGGAGGCGGAGGUUGCAGUAAGUGGAGAUAGCGCCACUCCACUCUAGCCUGGGCGACAGAGUGAGACUAAGUCUAAAAAAAAAAAAAAAAAGUAUGUAUAUAUAUGAAAAAUUGGCAAUGUGAAAACAGCUUAUAUUAAUGAAGGAAAAGCCAAUACACAGGCAUUGCAAGCAAAACUCUUUAUCUUAUAGCAUGAUGCUCCAACCUAAGCAGCCAGAUUAUACUUGUCAAUCUGCUAUAUUACAAAUCAAAUAGUUUAUUUGUUGUGUCACCUCACAUUUCCUGGCAUUGCCACUCUUCAGGUAUUUAUAUUCUAUUAAUAUUUUCAUUAUGAUUAUUGCAUAAAUUCAUGUGAUACUGUUGUCACAAGUUUUGUAGUACAUUGGAAACUUGCAUUUAUCAAAUUCUCUUUUCACAAAAGCUUUCUCUACAUGUCCUGCAGAUGCUUUGUGUGAGACAGAGAAUGGUAUGUAGAGUUUGUGGAAUGUAAAGCUGGCCAUUUUUUCUCCUUUGUAAGCAGUAAAACUUAAAGUUGAAGAAAGAUGGAAAUGAAACAGUUUGAUUAUGGUUUUAAGCAGGAAAUUAUGAGACUAAGAUAUUUACUAAGACUUUUCAAAAUAAAAACAGAUAAAACAUUCAUUUCCUUCUUUCAAAUAUUUUGUUUAACUGUAAUGGUAAACCUGGCAUGGUGAUUAACUGGUUGCCAGAAUAAGGCCUGAGGCAUCACCAAAUUAUACUUAAUUCUUUAUUUUUUAACAUUAUUUUAAAGGAAAAGUACCUGGAAGAAAGAUGUAAUUAGGAAGAAGUAAACAAUGAAGUAGAACGGGGAAGGAUGCAAAAUGGAGAACUGUAACAAUAGCCAGGGGCUGGGAGUAGAGCAACAUAUUUUACUACGAUGAAGAGGAAAAUAAUUUCUUCCCCCCGUCAAGCCUACAGUCAAGGGGAGAGACAAGAAGGAUUGUGGGAGAAAGCCAGUCACAUACAACAGCUAGAUCAGGUUUUGGGGAAGCUAUCGCUUAGCAACCUUUAUUUUAGACUGUUACAUGAGUACAGCUCGAAAAAGUCAAGACACUGUUUUAUACCAUCCUUAGAAGGAUGAUUUGAAGUAUUUGGUAGGUGGUAAAAUAAAUGUACAAUAAUCACAAAACUUUUCUGAGAGGCUUUAUUACAUGUUAUAAUGUUGAUCUUCAGAAAUGUUUAAUAAAAUCACAUUUCCAGGAUUCCUUGUCUUAGCUCGGGUUGCCAUAACAAAGUAUUGCAGACUGAGUAGCUUAAGCAAUACAAAUUCAUUUUCUCACAGUUCUGGAAGCUGGAAGUCUGAGAUCAGGAUGUCAGCAUGGUCAAAGUCUGGUGAGAUCUUUCUUCCUGACUUUCAGAUUGGCACCUUCUCCCUGUGUCCUCACAUGGCCUUUCCUCAAUGUGUGGGCAUGGAGAAAGAGGGUGAUCUCUCUCUCUUCU
rnacentral:lncRNA from 1 species